UGUCCUUGUUUUUUAAAAUCUUAAUAUCAAUUUGUAUAAGAUGAAUUUAAUAAAAAAUACGGGUUAAGUGACACUUCUGAAUUGAAAGACUUAGAAUAUUAGGACAAAGGAGUACGCUAACAAAAAUUAAAAUUACUCUUAAAUUUUAAGGUACAUAAUUAUUAUUAUUUUAUAAAUUAGAUGCAAUUUAACUAAUUAGUGAUUGCACCAUCUUCCGGUCCCUUGAUGGACCUUCAACUAUAUCUAAUACAAAUGUGAUAUUUAUUUUAGUAUCAAGUGCUAUAUAUCAAUAAUUUAUUCUUCUUGUAUUUAAUUUUUAUUAAUAGACGCGAGGAGGUAGGAGAAUUGCAAUAAGAAACUCAUCUUUUAUAUCACCCCUUUCCAAAUAGUAGUAUCCUUCAUUUUGAAUAUCCUGGGGAAGAAGUGUUGUUGAAGCGAAGGCUUUGUGAAAACCAAAACCCUCUCCGCUAGAAGACUCGCGGACCUACUCACUGUUUCCGGCGAUUACCCUAUCACGGUACGCCCAAAUUUCAGUAUCUCUAUGUUCUGCUUACACACACUCUCUCAUCUCGAUAUCCGUUUGUUUGUUUGAUUCAGAUGCAUCAGAAUAGUGGAGCCGCCGAUUUGGCUCAGCUUCAAGCCACCAUGCAAGCAAUCGAAUUCGCUUGCACUUCUAUUCAGGUCAUUUUGUCAACUAGUUUUGUCAUAUCUGAAAUCAAUUCAACUGCUAAACCAUAUUUGCCAUGUUCCGUUGCAAUCAAGAUGUAUAGGUGCUGUAACUGUUGUUGGUUUGGUAUGUACUGCUUUUAGCAGCCAUGUUUUCUCGAGUAACUUCUCUUUACCAAACCAAAUGAUCUAAAGCACAACCUAUGCGGUGAAAUUAAGUGAUGGCAAGUUCUAAGUGAGUGCUAAACAUUUUGGUUUAUGCCUUCUUUAGUUGAGAAUUGUGAAAUUAAGUUAGUCUAGUCGUAUUUAUCUGAAGAAUUUAUUCUUGUGGUAUUGGAUGUUGUAUAAUUCUAAAGGCCUUAUAAAAUUGAAAUAGGUCCCCUUUCCAUUCUUUUCCCUUUUGCUGCUGAUGGGUUCCAGAGACGAGCUUCAGUGCCACACAAUUUACUUGAUGAUUGUUCUCCAUGAUUUAUUAAUCCUCAUAACCAUAUCCAUACUACAAAUUCUACAAUCAAAUCACAAAUGUGGACAUCUGGACUAUGUUUGAGCAUCGGCAAGUAUUUGACCUUAAUGAAUUACAAGUUGAAAAAAUUGAUUUCAU
rnacentral:lncRNA from 1 species